AGGAGCUCUCCUCAGCAGCCCCACAGAAAUCAAACCUGUGUCUCCUGAUGUCCUCGCCUGCUGUUCCUCUUGGAGCCUGCUAGCAAAAGACCCUCAGCAGGCCCAGCUGAAACACCCACAUGGUGCAGUUUCCCCUGGGCAUUACCACUGGAGCCAAUCUGUGCUCUGCUCACCACUAGCAGGCACACUGCAAGGACUAACACUUCUCUGCUUGUUCAGUCGGCCUCCAGUCACCCUCCCACUCUGUUCUGUGCCAUGCCAAAAACGAUCAGUACCUGCACAUCCUCCCCCCAUUUGCAAUCAUGCAGGCCAGAUGGCCAAGUCUGCCUUUCAGGGCGGGCAGGCAGUCAAGAACAGCUUGCUUGCAGCUACAAACUACUGGGAUCACCACAGAUAUGACUGCAUUGCAGCGCUGACCUGAGCCUCAUGUACCACCCUGCUGCUGAUCCUGCUUCUCCUUGCCUUCUGGCGAGAGCCAGGAAGCCCCAAGGAAAUAUUGCAGUAUGGCAUUCAUUGCAAAAAGCCACAGCCGAGGAAUUGUUGGAGGAGGAACAAAUCAGGGCACUUGGUUAUCAAGACUGCUGACAGGGCGGCUGGGAAGGAACACCUUGCUGGUAAGCAGAGCUAACUGUAGGCUUCCAGUAAGUCGGUGGGAAGCUAGGAGGUAAGCCCGUUUUUUCCAUUUCAGCACUGGAUGUGCUUACUGCUUUCUGUCUUAGCUGAGCACAUUGAGCAAAUGCCCACACCAGGGAGCUGCCGUGGUGGCUGGGCCCUGAGAGCUGCUCUGCUUGUAAGCAAGGACUCCUUUCUGACACAAGAGAGAAAGACGCAUGGAGAAGGCAGGCUGCUCACAGGCACACAGACAGACAGGGCAAGGGACCUCAGGUAUCCAUCCUUCUUUAUAUUUCAUCAGUGCUUAAAUAGUGAUGAGACCGAUGUGAAAGAGCCUGUGACGGGUGGUGAUGGGUUCCAAACACGAGCCAUCUGCUGGCACAAACCACCUUCCUCCAGCUGCGGCUGAGCUCUGGGCCGCCCACUGCCCCCUCAGCUCCCCUCCUUCCUGGUUCUCACCUGGCACACCACAGUGGCACACCGCUGCCUUCCCCUUUCACACGCUGACAGCAAGCGACCAGCCCAGGGUGAGAGGAAACGGUUAAGCACAUCACUGCUUGGAGAGUCCUCCCGAGCCUCCCACAGCCCUGCCACUCCUGCUCUCUGCCUGCUUUUUGCCAUUUUCUUCCUUUUUGCCCAGCGUGUUAAUCCCCCGCUUCUCCCCCUGCUCUCAGAUGCACAGUUUGGUCAGUGGCAUCCUUACUGUCCGUGGCAGAUGGGGUUGGAAAGUCCCCUCAGCCCUUGAAUGCUGGCUGCUAUUUGUUAGUGUCCUACUUUGGUCAACAGACUGCUCUGAGCUUACAACCUUGCAGAACUUGCAGUGCUGAUGACAUAAUAUUUCAUGGCUUUGCAGGCACGCUCAGAGCUCUGUGUAGUAUGUCCCCAAGCAUUUUAUCACAGCACGUGAGGAGAUGUUUCACAGUAUUCUAUCUAGGCACUUCUCCUGGCCCAGAGCCUAGGCAUGUGAACAGUAAACUCUUUUUAGGACUCAUGUGAAUGUGCACUGAGACAGCGAGGCAAAAAACAGAGGAUAUAAUUAACCACUGAAUUUCUUGCAAUCAUUGCAAAAUGCCAGCAGACUCUGUUCUUCUCUACAGAGAAUAUAAAGUGGAAUUUAAGCACAAACAGGACUCUGUUCUUGCUCUAGCAGCCUUACUCUCAGAUGUUAGGGGCAGAGGCGGUUUCCUCGAUCUCUCUGCAUGCCCUUUCUUUCUUACAUCUUCUUUGGGAAUUUGUUGUUGAGUAGCUGCUGAUGCAGAGCCUGCCCUGGUACAGACCUGCAGAGCCAUUUGAAGAUGUGAUCUGUGCUGCUGAAACUCAGCCUAGUUUCUAGAAGCAAUUUGUGGAAGUGGCUCAAAUCUUAGGGACCUGACUGCUCAGAGGACUUUCUGCUGUAGGGCAGAGUGUAUCUGCAAUGCACUGCAGCUAUUCCACAGUAACUCUGCAUGCAGUGCCUUUGUUCCAUUAUUAUAAUGCAUUUUGCACUUCACUAAAAUCCAAACCCAGAUUGUCUGUAUGGGGGGGGUGCUUUUCACAACUGCUCUUCCUGUUGACUGAGUUUUCUUGGAAGGAAAUUUUGGAAAUCCACAGUGUGGGCAAGCCUGAAGUGACCACCUCCACUUCUGAUUUUGCUGCAUUGUAGAAUCAGCAUGAAAUGAAUAGCAAAAAGAAAUCCGAGUGUAACAACCUUCAGUAAGAGCUGCAAGGAAGCUGCACAGGUCUCAUGAAAUGCACCAAGAUGCUGAAAGGCUCAGAUAGGUGUCUAAGCACCUCGAGUGGUGUCCAGAGGAAAGCUAAAGCCCUAUUGUUUGAAGUUCCUAAAACUGUCAACACAAUGGGAAAGUCCCUGUAGAAAACAGGCCUGCAUUGACAAGUCCUCCAGUGGUCUUUCCCAUCUUUCACUUCUGUGAUUUAUGUGCUCAUAAAUUCCUCUGUACUGACCUGGAAAGCUUGCCUGUGGCUGGGAUCCAAGAGCACCCUGGUGGAGUUUUGUUCAGCCAUCCUUUUUGGCUUCCCAUUGUCUGUUCUCUGCCUGAAUUUUGAUCCAGGAGCAGAUAUGAGCCAGAGGCAUCGUGUCCUCUUCAGACAGGAAGGCAACAUUUUCCUGUGGGACGUCUACCCAGAUCAGUUCUGCCUGGUGAAGGCCGGGAGAUGCAAUGCCCUGUCACUACCCGCUGCUGUCCCUGCACCCUGGGUCAGCUCCUUGGCCUCAAUUCCGCUUUCUGGUAUUUAGAGGUGACUGCACUGGGGUGAGCAGAACUAGCCUGGGGCAGGACUGUUCUGGAUUCAGAACAGGUCACCUCCCAGUACAGGUUUAUCUGGAAUAUUCACUGUGUAUUAUUUUUCAGUAUGAAGUUUCCUUUCUAAAUAGCAAAGAAGGGAAUUGCUUGUUAACGCCA